rnacentral:rRNA from 1 species
AGUGAACGCUGGCGGUAGGCCUAACACAUGCAAGUCGAACGGCAGCACAGUAAGGGCUUGCUCUUACGGGUGGCGAGUGGCGGACGGGUGAGGAAUACAUCGGAAUCUACUUUUUCGUGGGGGAUAACGUAGGGAAACUUACGCUAAUACCGCAUACGACCUACGGGUGAAAGCAGGGGAUCUUCGGGCCUUGCGCGAUUGAAUGAGCCGAUGUCGGAUUAGCUAGUUGGCGGGGUAAAGGCCCACCAAGGCGACGAUCCGUAGCUGGUCUGAGAGGAUGAUCAGCCACACUGGAACUGAGACACGGUCCAGACUCCUACGGGAGGCAGCAGUGGGGAAUAUUGGACAAUGGGCGCAAGCCUGAUCCAGCCAUACCGCGUGGGUGAAGAAGGCCUUCGGGUUGUAAAGCCCUUUUGUUGGGAAAGAAAAGCAGCAGGUUAAUACCCCGCUGUUCUGACGGUACCCAAAGAAUAAGCACCGGCUAACUUCGUG